rnacentral:rRNA from 1 species
GUGUAUGGCCAUGUCACCCUGACCGUGACUGAUCCCGUCUGAUCUCAGAAGCUAAGCAGGGUUGGGCCUGGUUAGUACUUGGAUGGGAGAGCACCUAGGAAUACCAGGUGCUGUAGGCA